AAGAAGACAGCAGGACGGAUGGUGAUCUCACCCAGAGAUCACAUACAAGGGUCGACUGGUGGAAGUCACCAGACUUGGAAGUUAUUGCACAGCUGGCUCGGAACAUGGACUGGAAAAUAGAGCAAGAACCUACCAAGUUUCGAUUUGUCUGAGCUAUCCUCUAGAGGUGACGGGGGAGCAGACGUUAGUGUACCUCCAAAGGCCAGAGAAGCUGCUUGAGACGAAAGGUUUGAGAAAAGGUAACGUACUACUUUUGCUCUCUGUUCUUGCAGGCGCUCAAAUCUCAACUUCGAUGAGAAGAAGCAGAGCAGGGCAUAGCGGCCAGAUAAGUUUCUCAACAGUCAAGAGCAUCAUAAGCCAGGAAUCAAGCAAGUGCAAAACUGACACUGCGGCUUGCAACACAGGUUGUUCGACAAGAUGGGACGAAGAACAGGAUAGGUUGGUCUACCUCGCAAAUUGUGAAUAGGAAGCCGAUGCAUUCGUCGCGUGGAAGCAUCAGAAGUGUUCUGGAGGACGAAGAAACACGACAUUGGUUGCCUGGAACACGAACAUGCACGUCUUCUAUCAGAUGCAACAAGAAGCUGGCCUGCCUCCAAACUCUGAGACUUUGCAUGGAGCAGCAAACCAAGAACAACCUUUGCUCUUGAGUGCUACGAGCAAGCCAGCAGCCAAACGCUCAGACUUUCAUGGUGGCGCUCAAGGCACGCGGCGACUUAGCAGAGAAGAGGUUCCACUUGCAGAUCUGGGAGAGAAAUCUUGACGGAAUCCACUUCUCAGUGUGCUCGCUCAAUGAGAGAAAAGCUUUUCUCGGGAGGUCGGUAAACAAUGUUGCAGGAAAGAGUAUGAUGCAAGGUUGAUGGAGCCGUCAAUGAAACCCAAACAAAGAUGGUACGUGAAAAGAUGCGAAAGGAUCUUAUGGUGAAGAGAUAAAAAAUAUGAGAGACAAUACUUAUCUCUUAAUUAAUUUGCAGUCGUAUCAAUUUAAUUAAUCAAUAGUUAUAAACAUAUUUAAGAUUAA
rnacentral:lncRNA from 1 species